rnacentral:rRNA from 1 species
GGGUUGUGAGGUUAAGCGACUAAGCGUACACGGUGGAUGCCCUGGCAGUCAGAGGCGAUGAAGGACGUGCUAAUCUGCGAUAAGCGUCGGUAAGGUGAUAUGAACCGUUAUAACCGGCGAUUUCCGAAUGGGGAAACCCAGUGUGAUUCGUCACACUAUCAUUAACUGAAUCCAUAGGUUAAUGAGGCGAACCGGGGGAACUGAAACAUCUAAGUACCCCGAGGAAAAGAAAUCAACCGAGAUUCCCCCAGUAGCGGCGAGCGAACGGGGAGCAGCCCAGAGCCUGAAUCAGUGUGUGUGUUAGUGGAAGCGUCUGGAAAGGCGCGCGAUACAGGGUGACAGCCCCGUACACAAAAAUGCACAUACUGUGAGCUCGAUGAGUAGGGCGGGACACGUGGUAUCCUGUCUGAAUAUGGGGGGACCAUCCUCCAAGGCUAAAUACUCCUGACUGACCGAUAGUGAACCAGUACCGUGAGGGAAAGGCGAAAAGAACCCCGGCGAGGGGAGUGAAAAAGAACCUGAAACCGUGUACGUACAAGCAGUGGGAGCACGCUUAGGCGUGUGACUGCGUACCUUUUGUAUAAUGGGUCAGCGACUUAUAUUCUGUAGCAAGGUUAACCGAAUAGGGGAGCCGAAGGGAAACCGAGUCUUAACUGGGCGUUAAGUUGCAGGGUAUAGACCCGAAACCCGGUGAUCUAGCCAUGGGCAGGUUGAAGGUUGGGUAACACUAACUGGAGGACCGAACCGACUAAUGUUGAAAAAUUAGCGGAUGACUUGUGGCUGGGGGUGAAAGGCCAAUCAAACCGGGAGAUAGCUGGUUCUCCCCGAAAGCUAUUUAGGUAGCGCCUCGUGAAUUCAUCUCCGGGGGUAGAGCACUGUUUCGGCAAGGGGGUCAUCCCGACUUACCAACCCGAUGCAAACUGCGAAUACCGGAGAAUGUUAUCACGGGAGACACACGGCGGGUGCUAACGUCCGUCGUGAAGAGGGAAACAACCCAGACCGCCAGCUAAGGUCCCAAAGUCAUGGUUAAGUGGGAAACGAUGUGGGAAGGCCCAGACAGCCAGGAUGUUGGCUUAGAAGCAGCCAUCAUUUAAAGAAAGCGUAAUAGCUCACUGGUCGAGUCGGCCUGCGCGGAAGAUGUAACGGGGCUAAACCAUGCACCGAAGCUGCGGCAGCGACGCUUAUGCGUUGUUGGGUAGGGGAGCGUUCUGUAAGCCUGUGAAGGUGUGCUGUGAGGCAUGCUGGAGGUAUCAGAAGUGCGAAUGCUGACAUAAGUAACGAUAAAGCGGGUGAAAAGCCCGCUCGCCGGAAGACCAAGGGUUCCUGUCCAACGUUAAUCGGGGCAGGGUGAGUCGACCCCUAAGGCGAGGCCGAAAGGCGUAGUCGAUGGGAAACAGGUUAAUAUUCCUGUACUUGGUGUUACUGCGAAGGGGGGACGGAGAAGGCUAUGUUGGCCGGGCGACGGUUGUCCCGGUUUAAGCGUGUAGGCUGGUUUUCCAGGCAAAUCCGGAAAAUCAAGGCUGAGGCGUGAUGACGAGGCACUACGGUGCUGAAGCAACAAAUGCCCUGCUUCCAGGAAAAGCCUCUAAGCAUCAGGUAACAUCAAAUCGUACCCCAAACCGACACAGGUGGUCAGGUAGAGAAUACCAAGGCGCUUGAGAGAACUCGGGUGAAGGAACUAGGCAAAAUGGUGCCGUAACUUCGGGAGAAGGCACGCUGAUAUGUAGGUGAAGUCCCUCGCGGAUGGAGCUGAAAUCAGUCGAAGAUACCAGCUGGCUGCAACUGUUUAUUAAAAACACAGCACUGUGCAAACACGAAAGUGGACGUAUACGGUGUGACGCCUGCCCGGUGCCGGAAGGUUAAUUGAUGGGGUUAGCGCAAGCGAAGCUCUUGAUCGAAGCCCCGGUAAACGGCGGCCGUAACUAUAACGGUCCUAAGGUAGCGAAAUUCCUUGUCGGGUAAGUUCCGACCUGCACGAAUGGCGUAAUGAUGGCCAGGCUGUCUCCACCCGAGACUCAGUGAAAUUGAACUCGCUGUGAAGAUGCAGUGUACCCGCGGCAAGACGGAAAGACCCCGUGAACCUUUACUAUAGCUUGACACUGAACAUUGAGCCUUGAUGUGUAGGAUAGGUGGGAGGCUUUGAAGUGUGGACGCCAGUCUGCAUGGAGCCGACCUUGAAAUACCACCCUUUAAUGUUUGAUGUUCUAACGU